GCGGACCGCGCGGAGCUAAGUGGAAUCCCGGUUGGCUUGGGGCGCAGGCUUCCAACUUCGUACUCUGGCCUCUGGCGUCUCGGCUCGUCGGUUGGGUACCCGAACCCAGCUACUGCUGCUUGAAGAGAAGAUGGAUGGGGACUCCUCGCCGUCGCUGCGCCGCCGGCCUUCCCUGGGCGGACGUACACCUUUGCGAAGCGUCAGUGAGGACCCAGGGCCCCUCCUUGGAAUAGCUCUUAUUUCUCAAGCGCUGCAGCGUGAAGCUCGCUCUGCGGGUCCGAGAGGCCUGCGAUCUGAAGACUGAAAACUGGGAAGAGACGCUCUACCCUGUGCUCCUCGCCGGCUUCGAUAGGAGCCGCAGGUGCCUGGGAUUUUCUCAAACUUUGUCCCAAACUUCAGCUGUGGGAGUGGAGGAACAAACAGGCCUCUCCCAGAAUUGUGAAAGAGAUCGCCCUGGUGGAUGAAACAAAAACAAAUGCACUUGACUUCCACCGCCUGCCUGGCGUGUCACGCGGGUUUAAUGUAUGUGUCACAUUUAAAUUCAAAGUAUUUUCUUCUAAGGGCCUGGACACAUUUCUUUUCUCCCUGUAUCGUGAAUUGGAAAAUACCUUAGGAUAUUAAAAGUUAUCUAAGA
rnacentral:lncRNA from 1 species